CCGAGGAGCCCUUGGGCCCUGAAGAACAGUAGCGAGACCCCGGCCACACUAGCGCUGGCUCAGGUGAGUCUCAGAGCCGCACGGGACCCUAGUGUGACCCAGCACAUUCCCAGCUGUGGUGGCCACAGGCAGAGACCCCUUCUGCUUGAGGAAAGGAGAGGGAAGAGGAAAGGAGACCCCACAGAGGACGAGGACAUCAGUAUGAACAACCCAGUUGGAACAUAAUACCAAUGAGAAAGAGAAGCCACGGGGAGAGGAAUGCAGAACCCUCCCACCCACCUGCUCUCAGCUGAGAGUCCAUCUGGGCCUCCAGUGGGCAAGGACAAAAAACUCCAUUUGGCUGAGAAGUGACUGGCACUGGGUCAAAGCCAAACAAAUCCUCGGUGGGAAUUUAGCUCACACCUUGAUUUUCUGUUCAUUAAAUUUC
rnacentral:lncRNA from 1 species